ensembl:lncRNA
UAAACAUUGAGUUCUCACUUUCCAACCUCCAUUAACACGGCAACGAAUGAGUCGGCAUCAUCCCUAGCCACCUCCUCGGGCACUUUGUGUUUAAUUGCGUCAUGUCCUGGAGCGUUUCCAUGGUGAUCCGGGGGCGUCGCUGCCUCCAGGUUCCACUCAUUUCUACUUUUUUUUCCCUUUAAUUGUUGGUCACAUUUAGAAAAGCAAACAGUUGGGAUGCCCCCAGAGGCUUGAAAAUCAACCAAUAUUCAGCAGGAAUUAUCCGAGCUUCUGUGGAGGUCGGUCCUGGGAUCCACUUAUAGACUUGAUCCAAUUAGUUUAGCAGUUUGGAAUAAAGGCGGUGAGUCACAUCACUUCAGUCGCCGCCUUGUUCUGUCGCUGCAGAAACCCCUGAAGCCAUGGAGCAACAAACAGCCGCCGCUCUGUCUUCCCCUUUAAAAAACUCUCGCUUCAGUUUUCUUGUUCUAUUUUACACGAUUCAUUAUCCAUCACUCCCCCCGUAGUUUCUUUGCUGUCGUCCUGCUGACUUCGCCUCACUUUUUCCUGCUCGUCUUCAGGAAGUCAAGCUUUUCUGCCCCGUAGACGAAGACAAAGAGCCGCGAUAAUUCUGGUCAGGCAGAGCGGAGCGUGUGGACGGCUGGGCUCCUAACGGACGGAUCGCUCUGCCAGAGGAAGCAGCCGAGGUUUUGUUUCCUCGUUUCCGGCCUCGCAGAAUCGUAACACAAUGAAGUGAAAUGUGGAGACGUGGUCACUAAUCCAGUAACAUGUCCCAUCAUGCACUGCUUCCAAGAAGACGGAUCAGAAAGACAACGGAGGACUGGUGUCAUUUCCACAGAUUAAGACGUAUUUUGUAGAAUUAAAACGUAUUUUGUUGCUUUCAUGGUGUUGAGGUGCAUUUCUUUUUUAGAGUUAAUACUAAUUUUAUAGUAUCAAGAUAUAUUUUUACAGUAUUAGGUUAAGGUGUAUUUUCUACUGUUAAGACUUUUUAAAAUAAUAUUUGGACAUAUUUUCUAGUUUUAAGACUUAUUUUACAGCAUUUCUACUGUUAGGAUGCACUUUAAAGAGCCAAGACAUAUUUUAUAGCUUUAAGACAUUUUCUUUUAGUUUUAAGACAUAUUUUAUAGCAUUGAAAUCUUUUUUAACAAUACUGAGAUGUAUUUUUUAGAGAUAAUAUUUAUUUUAUAGUGUCAUGAUGCACUUUAUAGUGUUCAGACAUAUUUGAAUGGUAUUCGGACAUAUUUUAUGAAGUCAUAUUUUCUAUUGUUAAGACUUUUUAAAAUAAUGUUAAGAUGUAUUUUAUAGCACUUUAUAGAGCUGAGACAUAUUUCAUAGCAUUCAAGGCCUAUUUUUUUAGUGUUAAGAUGCAUUUUAUGGUAUUAAGACGUGAUUUAUAGCAUUUAGACAAAUUAAACAAAGUUUAGAUGUAUUUCUUAUGACUUUUUUAAUAAUGUUAAGAUAUAUUUUCUAGUUUUCAGACUUAUUUCACAGCAUUAAGUCAAAUUUUCUACUGUUAAGAUGCACUUUAAAGAGCUAAGAUGAAUUUGAC